rnacentral:rRNA from 1 species
UACAUGGGGUGCAAACGUUGCUCGGAAUUAUUGGGCGUAAAGCGCACGUAGGUGGUCGCUUAAGUCGGAUGUGAAAGCCCUCGGCUCAACUGAGGAAGUGCAUCCGAAACUGAGUGGCUAGAGUAUGGAAGAGGGUCGCGGAAUUCCCGGUGUAGAGGUGAAAUUCGUAGAUAUCGGGAGGAACACCGGUGGCGAAGGCGGCGACCUGGGCCAAUACUGACGCUGAGGUGCGAAAGCGUGGGGAGCAAACAGG